rnacentral:lncRNA from 1 species
AGUCGACUCCGGGUCAAGACGAGUCGACUUUCAGUCGAAGAAGCUACUUUAAUUCAAAUCCGGAACAGUUGCCGAGUCGACUCCAGAAAAGCAUGAGUCGACUCCCGCUACAGCCGAGUCGACUCCUGAUCGUGCGAGUCGACUCCGACCCCAACGGACACAUUGUCAGGUUGUGCAGAGUGUACAGAAUGGGCAGAAAAAGGUGUCUAACGGCUAGUUUCCGUGGGGGAUGGCUUAAAUAGCCACAGAGGACUGUAGCA